GUGCUUGCUUCCACAGCACAUAUACUAAAAUUGGAAUGAUACAGAGAAAAUUAUCAUGGCCCCUGUGCAAGGGUGACACCCAAGUAACCAUUCCAUAUUUUU
ensembl:snRNA U6 U6 spliceosomal RNA